rnacentral:tRNA from 1 species
GCCCAUGUAGCUCAGUUGGUAGAGCACAUCCUUGGUAAGGAUGAGGUCACCAGUUCAAUCCUGGUCAUGGGCU